GGAUGAACGCUAGCGACAGGCCUAACACAUGCAAGUCGAGGGGCAGCACAAGGAGCAAUCUGAGGUGGCGACCGGCGCACGGGUGAGUAACACGUAUGCAACCUGCCUGUAAGCGGGGAAUAACCCGUUGAAAGACGGACUAAUACCGCAUAAUACUAAAUUACUGCAUGGUAAUUUAUUUAAACAUUUAUGGCUUACAGAUGGGCAUGCGCAUGAUUAGCUAGUUGGAGAGGUAACGGCUCCCCAAGGCAACGAUCAUUAGGGGUUCUGAGAGGAAGGUCCCCCACACUGGUACUGAGACACGGACCAGACUCCUACGGGAGGCAGCAGUGAGGAAUAUUGGUCAAUGGACGAGAGUCUGAACCAGCCAAGUCGCGUGCAGGAAGAAUGUUCCCUAUGGAUUGUAAACUGCUUUUGCAGGGGAAUAAAGUGCAUCACGUGUGAUGUUUUGUAUGUACUCUGCGAAUAAGGAUCGGCUAACUCCGUGCCAGCCGCUGC
rnacentral:rRNA from 1 species